UCAGCUUGCAGCUCCUCUUGACCUCAAGGUGGUUUUGUAGCACCAGUUUUCCUGUAUUGACUGUUCUCACUAUAGAAUUUAAGGAUCCUUAAACUUUGCUGGACGGUACAGAAGGAAUCCUGAGGUAAAGACGCAUUGCUACGCUGACACUUGCAGCAGCUCAGCUUGCAGCUCCUCUUAACCUUCUAAAAAAGCAUGAGACACUGAACUCAUCCUGAAACUUCUUUGCUGACUGAUUUUACUGUUUUGUUUAAAAUUUCAUGUUGAGAUCAGAGAUAACACAUUGAAUACUGACGUAAAGAGGCCUUGCCUAAAAGAGAUAAUACUUGCAGCAGCUCAGCUUGCAGCCUCUUCUGUGUCAAAGCACAUCAUAACGACUGAUUUUAAAAGUGAAACUCAUUCAUUUUUCACACACUCAAAAUUUAAGUCCCCCCAAAAUUUGCAUGCAGGAACACCAAAAGAAACUUGACAUAAAUGAGAUUAACUUAUAUUCGCAGCAGCUCAGCUUGCAGCUCCUCUUGACCUCCUGUGUGCAAGCAUGCUAUAAAGACACUUAGCUGAAUCUUCCACUUCAAAUCCACAAACAUGUUUUGAUCGGAGAUAACAGACCAAAUACCAACGUAAACAGGCCUUGCUUAAAAGAGAUGAGAUACCACUUGUAGCAGCUCAGCUUGCAGCCUCCUUGCAUUUCUGGACUUUUCUUAAUCCUGCCAGACAGUUUUAGUUUAAAUCAGUUUUAAGCGGUUAUUCUGGCUUCAUGAUUCUGCCUGAUUAUCUCACUAAUGUAUGCUCUAAAUUUACACUGUCACAAAAGUCCCCCUUUAAAAUAGUGUACCAGAAGACACCGGCACAGCGCUCACACACAUGUACCACCAUGAGCAGGAAUGUAAAAAUCAAUGUGGCAUAAUGAGGUUCAGGAGGUUACAUAAUCAACCCCUGAAACAAAAGAAACGAUGAGGUCUCGUCCGACACAAGCAACCAAAGAAAGGCGGCACAAACGGCCGAUCAUACGCCAAGACUCGCCUCAUUCCUUUAAUGUGACCGGGCUUAUCCGCCCCUGUGCAAACGUGCCCCUGCAGAAAUGAAGAUAACUCUAAAGACUGGAUAUGCAAACAAAAAAAAAAAAAAAAGAGGGAUCCCAGAUUAGUCAGUCAGGAAAUCUUUUGCGAUUUCCUUAUGCAGAUGAAAAACAGAGCACGCCCGGAAUAGAUGAGAUGUCUCUUUUGACACGAGAAUUGUUCCAAUUAUUGUUAUAAGCCCAGAAUUAGAAAGUCAAACAGAGCACUCAGUAGACUGAGAAAAGGCUGCAUACCAAGGGUGGGUGCGCACGCAUAAUGAUCGGCACGGACGAUACAUGCGAUCGUAAUGACACAUGCAAUCAGUCAAGCGUGGGUUUUAUCAUUAUUCAUAUAUUACAGCCUCAACACAGACCAUAAAGCCGGGUUUCAAAUGAGCUGUGGGAGGAAUCAACCUUAUUCAAGGGCACGUGUGCAGGGCAUGAAUGUGAGUACACACAAACACAAGCAUGGACUUGGAAAAUACAGAAUCUCCAACACUGUCUGAACACACAGUAAGCCCGCGACAAGUUCUUUUGUGUGUCUUGAGUGCUUGUGUAAACCUGGCGGCGUGCCUACGGUUCGUCGCCGCGCUCUGCUGUCACUGCGUACCAGCUGCCUUCUUCAGGGUGGUGAGGGAUCUUUAAUCACACACACACAAACAGUGUCUGGCAAAUUACUGCCUGCUGACUAGAAUUGAUAAACCAAUAGCCACAAGAACAGGGGAGCCAGAGCCAUUUGUUUGGAGGAGCCGCCUCGGUGGCGUUGGAGGGUUGUCAUGGUACCGAAAUUCAAAACUUCAAAACAACACUAUAAAAAAAAAAAAAACACUCAAUACUCAUUUUGAUUCCACAGCAAAAGUGCAUGUAGGCUUACUGUCUCCACACACCAAGUGUGAGUAAAAUCAUUCGCGCGAAUGAAUUACAUGUUAAGUCAAUGCAAAGACGCGAUUAGUCGCUUCUAUUUCUCUGGUGGCGCGAAUGACGCAAAUUGGGCAGGAGCUGAAAAUGUCUCAACUUGAGCUGACAGUCGUGUCGUGAUGACCAACCAGCACUAAGGUUGCCAGGUGACGUAUGACAGACGGUUGUUCACUGGUGUCGGUGUGUGGGUGCCCCGAAUUAUGUGAUACCUUUUCUUUCAAAUACCGAAACCGGAAUAAAAAGAAGCUCAUCUGGAGGCAAGUUAGCGAGCAGGUCGGAUUACGUUGUAAAUUGUAAAAAGCUUAUGUCUAUCACUUGAUCCCGCUGGUUGAAUUGGCAGGGAUUACCGUUGAAUUUACCGUUGAUGCGCGACUGAAGCGAGUAAAUACAAUUCAUUCAUGCGUCUAGAUUCGCGCGAAUGAAGCGAGUAGAUGACUUUAACUCGCGCUUGUUGUGGACGCUCCAUAACACGUCAGUUUGAUAUUGGUCAAUCAUCAUUUUUCGUUACUGAUACUACCACCCCAAGUCAAAACUUCAAUUUGGAGUUUAUGUUCGCUAAGGACCCUUUAUUUCACGAUGAAGAUGAGACGAUGACAAACCAAAAUAUAACACUGAAAACACAAACUCUGAUGAAAAACGUUUUAUUUCUCUGAUUAAAAAGAUGAUGUCGAACCCAAACUGUUUUCAGAGGACCGUCUUCCCCACAGCGUAUCUGGCCUUGUAUCUAGGGAUUACCUUUGAGAUUACUGUGCGAAUGAAGCGAAUAAAUACUAUUCAUUCACGCAUCUAGAUUCGCACGAAUUUAGCGAGUAGAUGAUUUUGGGUAUGGGUAUUUACAUAGUGCAACAAUUAAAAAGUUACAUACACCUCCUUUAAUCACUCUCAGCUCAAUCUCAUUUUCAGACAUUUUCUUUUCGAGUUUUAGCAGUUUAAAAAGUUUUCAAAGUUUGAAAUCACUGGAGCAGCAUCCUUAAACACACUAGAGAUGCUGGAUACAAAUAUUUAAGUAGCAACACAUCAGCCGAGGCUUUGAAGUUGUGUAGGAAAAACAAAUUUGUGGUUGAGAAAAACCUCCAGACCUCAUGUCAGUGUGUAAAAGCCGAAGAGAGAAGAACCUCAACUGAGCAGCAUCAUUUAUGACUGGCCUCUGGCCUCAAAUCCAUGAAGCUGAGAUCAGACAAAAGCAUGCAGAGCGUAAGGAAAAUACCCACGGUGCUGAUGGUGAGCGGUGGAGGCGGAGAAGGGAGAGGGUUCAGAGAUCACAGAUUUGGGAGUAAAGCGAGGCUGGGCUGGUGGUACGGUCGCUGCAGCAGCUGCAUGACCGUACCCGAAGAAAUGACACAAGGCCUCCCUGUCGGGGCAAAGACUGCAAACAAGAGUCUUGAGGAUUGAUCCUAAUGCACUAAUGAUGCUGCAGCUGUCAUGGACUUAUCACUCCUCGCUCUCCGGUGCUCUUUCCACUGCUGCAUACAGACGUAUCCCUCACGCUCCUUUGAACUCUCCUCAGACCUUUCUCUCUGCUUCUCGUCUCCUGUUUUUCCUCCGCUCUCUCAUUUAUUCUGACAUAUUCCACUCCGUGUCUCGUCUUUCUUUUUUCGACUACCUGGGGCUUUGAUUUACCUUUUCUCACAGGGGCCUGAUUUGAUCCUCUGAUGUUGCUCUAUGUGGUUUUUAAUCCUCCUUUCUUCCAAUACAGUUGGAAUUACAAUGCUAACAAAGCAGCUGAGCGUCAUUCUUUCCCCUCUUUCGAGAACGACACAUGUGCACACCUGCUGCUUUCUCUGCUCGAUAGACCCGUCCACAUCCCAGCUCUCUGUCCCUCCACCUGUCUACUCUCCUCAGAAGUUCCCCGCGCUAAUCUCACGCAGCAAAGCGGCGGCACAAGUCUCCAAAUGUCCAAUUGUUUACCACGGCCAAGCGUUUCACGCCCCUCACAGGGUCCAAUUUGUCUGGUGGCGCCUGAAGUCUGAGUGUUGUCGUCUGCCUCGGCUGCCUGCACGCCAUGCAAGAACUCAAGAUGGCAGCGCGCGUCGAGCAACAGAUUGGCAUUUUCCUGUGGCGAGGUGUUCUCACUUUGAUUCUCGAUGGCAGAUGUUGAGUGGCACCUUUUGGGAAGAAAGCCAGAAGAAACGACGUCUCUGCACCAAGGCGCAUCACUGCUGGCUGACAGUGACAUCUCAGACGCUGAUGUCAGAUCUGCUGUGGAGGUUUUUUUUCCGCCUAUAUUUCUGUUUAUGUUCCCGGUUUAUUCGCUGUAACCACAAUAUGGCAGAAAGAUGCCUGUACUUCAUUUCCAGCUAAUCUGCCAGACUGGAAAUGAAACGGAGCGACUGAGCAGCGAGGAGGAACAUGAAACAAAUGUCAAAGAAUCCCACAGUGUAAUUAGUACAGAGCAAUUACAGACAGAAUUCUCACUGAAAUUACAGAGAACUACAUUUACCACUAAUGUCAUGGACAUACUAUAUUCCUAAUCAUUGAUUAAAUAUGAAUAAUUAAUUCCAUUAAAACCAUUUCUUAUUUAAAUUCUGCUCCGAGCGUAGAGGAAGAACCAAUCAGGGUGUUUCGUUCGGUAAUCAAUUUCUGCAUAAAAAGAUUAUGAUCCCAGCAUUGCUUUAAUGUCACACUGCAGCCAUGACUCACAAAGACGCGCGAGUCUCUGCGCUGAAAUAUUCACCAGAGGGGACAUUUGUCCUGAUGCAAAGCUGAAGGUGGGAAGAUGAUGUUUUGGUAUUUGCUUGUUUUAGUUUGAGAAUCAAGUCAAUUUCACCACAACUGGAACUUGGAGUGAGCAAGAUAUGAUUUAUUUUCCAUAUUUGUCUCAUGUCUUUAAUGGAAUGUUGCCCCGACACUAAGAUGGCUGCCACGUAGGAACAUCCCUAAGUGGGCUGCUACAGCGUGCUGGCGUAUCUAGUCUUCUCUCUAUAUAUCUAGAUCUGUCCUAACGAGAGCCAAAGUCUCGCUCCAGGUCAACAACAAAAAAAUGAAUGAAACUUGAAACACAAGAUUUCCGAGCAUGUAUUUGAGCUUCCAUUUUCAUUUAGUCAAAAGAAAGUCAAAUACUGAUUUGUUUUUCAUUCUCCGAUCUCUACGACCAAAACGAAAAACGAAAAAAGGUUUGUUUUCCGUUUUCAUUCUGCGAUUCUAAUAGCCAAAAACGGAAAAAGCGUUUGUUUUCCGUUUUUUUUUUUCUCCAACUUUUAUGGCCAACACAAAAAACAGAAAAAGAUUGUUUUUCCAUUUUCAUUCUCCGAACAUUAUGACCAAAACAGAAAACAGAAAAGGUUCGGUUUCCGAUUUGAUUCUACGAUUGUUGUGGCCAAAACGAAAAACGGAGAAAGGUUUGUGUUCCAUUUUCAUUCUGCGAUUCUUAAGGCCAAAACGGAAGAAGAGUUUUGUUUUCUGUUUUCAUUAUCCGAUCUAAUGGCCGAAAUAAAAAAAUGGAAAAGGUUUUUAUUCCAUUUUCAUUCUGCGAUUCUUAAGGCCAAAACGGAAAAAAAAAGUUAAUUUUCCAUUUUCAUUGUCCAACUUUUAUGGCCAAAAUGAAAAACGGAAAAAGAUUUGUUUUCCGUUUUUCAUCUCCCGAUCCCUUACUGGUCGUCGGGAAACAGCUUUUCUUCCAAUUUUCAUUUUUUUCAUUUGAAACAAAAAUCUGUUGGCUACUAAGUACACAGACCGUCAACCACUCCCCCUUCUAGCAACCUGCUUCCAUACAGCUUACAAAGCUGAUUACCAUUCCUGACAGGGUACACAGCCAAUCACAGUUGAGGAUUUUAGGUCGGCCAAUCAGAUUUAAAGGGAGUUGAGUUUUAAACCCUGAUCCAGAACAGCGAACAUUCACACGUCAGUAAUCUUUAUUCUACAGGAGAGUUCAGUACCAAGCAGUAGUGGAAGAAAGAAGGUGGUUUAAGGCUAAAAAUAACUGUCGUCCAGAUCAUCUUGAGUGUCAGCUUCACCUGGAUUGCACUGUAACGGCGUUCGCGCUCCCCUGACUGAGCGUGCUGUCACCAGAAAAAGGCUGCCAAUUGAAUGUGGUGUACUGGAAUAAAUUACUGCAUUAAGACACAAGGUUGAGAGUCCGUCUACUUAAUGAAUUGAAAACAAUAAAACGGAGUAGUUGUGUCCUCGUUUUUCAUUGCUUGUGGGGCCAGUUGGGGACACAGCAGCACACCGCCUGGUAGGCUGAGCGUUCCCUGCUGAGGAUAUCAAUAAUGCUUCUCUUUUUAACCGAAGAAGCACUGGACGUACUUUAACAGAAUCCGGGUUUCCCUUCAGUGGCUCCAGAUGAAAUAUUUAGCGCUGAAUAUAUACAGGACAUUAAAUUGUAAAUCCUGGAGGGUUUCCAAUCAGCCUGUGAGGACAAAAUGAAAUGUUGAAAAAAGAGGGGGUGGGGGGGAUUGGUUGGUUGACAAAGAACAUGAAAACGUGCUGCAGGUCCUUUCACGGCAUCCAGGAGCGAGAAGUGCAGACUCAGAGGCCGACAUAAAGAACCGGAGAGCACAUAAGCGCUAUAGUCGCUGUGAGAUGUACUGCGAGCUGAGGAAAUCUGAGACAGUGACUCAGCCAUCUGAAUUCAUUAUCUGAUUUUAAUAAUCCUUUUAAAUAAAGACCUCCAGUCAUCCGACAUUUGAAACCCUUAUUAUAUGACGAUGUUUAAAUCAAACUGGAACAAAGACUCUUGUAGCUAAGACCUUUUUUCUUCUCGGCCGCGAGCUAAAUCUGCAACGACGGUAACGGUGACUGUGAGAGAUCCUUUUGUCAAAGAAUUGUAACUACCAGCUCCUCUCUGUUUAUUUGUCCAAGACCUUAUCAGGAACUUAAUAUGCAGUGUAAAACAAAAAAUGAAAUGUGCCAACAGCAAGGGACGGCUGAGAAGAGAGGGCUGUUUGCAGGAUCCUGUUUGAAUCGAUCAAAAAUGCAGAACCAUGAUAGCAGGAGCAGAACUCGACGGUCAAACUGAUUUUAAAAAACACGACAUCCCAGUGAGCGAGGCAGCAAUGCCGGUCGUGUAUUUUGUCUGGAUUUGAAACAUCUGUCUUUAAAAACCACUCAUAAAAUUAACAACCCUGAAAAUACCACAGAAUUCAGACCCUUUUUAGAGCGUUGGGCUUCUUUUAAUGGGACCGGUGCGACCAGUGUGCCACUAAAUGCAGAGAGAGGCGUUUUAUUGUGUUUUGGUAUUUCACCCAGAGGAUGAUGUUGGAGAGGAGAUGCUGGGUGGCCUACAUUGGCCAGCCUUGUAACACUUCCCUCCCUCGUUAGGUUUUAACCAUGCAUUCAGAGAAAACAGAGGUAUACUAUUACGUUAAAAAAAGUACUUUUGGACAGCUGAUUUAGCUGAAACCACUCAAGAGGAUGAGUAACCAACAGAAGUGGGCGAUUCAAGUUAGUAACAACUACCAGUGCAGCCUCUAUAGGGAUCAAGUACUAGCAAGGAGCUACGCGGUUGCACAGAAACUGCACAUUGCUUAUUUUGCUUGAAGUCGUGAAAAUCUACAGACAGAAAGACAGCAACAUUCAGGACACCCCAAAACAAACUCUAGUAUAUUCAGUGUUACCCGUACAUUCAUUCUGCUGCUGAAUUACAUGCGCCGCUACUGAAUUUUCACAUGUUCAUUUAUGCCACCACUACUGAUUUCUACUCACACUGUGUGAGAACAACAAUACACGUUAUUUUCAACUUGUUUUGAGUCUUUAACGAGCGCAUCAAAUCCUGUUUGACCCUCUUCUAUUAACGUGAAAGGUACCGUUCAAGCUUAUACACAGUCUAUAAAGUGAGUAGCGCGGGUAACGUCAUGUAACGUGAACGGAGUAGCGUAGCUCCAUGAGCGUGGGAGUAACGGUGAACCCCCCAAACACAGAAGCACUGCUGCAAAAAAAAAAAAUUCUAGUGGAAACACUGAUAUUGGUGCAACCUUUAUUGUGGAUUUGAAAGCUGUAUAAAAAAUUAAAUAAAAUCUAGUGUCCAGGCAAGUUCCAGCAAAGCAAUAUUUUGUUAAUGUUGCUACAUUCUGAUAUGCAGUUUGUAUAUCUUUUGUGGGCUGAAUAAACAAACUCAGAUGAGGGAAAAUUUCAACACUUUCAUUAGAGCUCUUAUGAGUUUUUUGACGUUUACAAAAUGGACUAAAAAUUAUUUUUCCUGUCUGUCCAUGAAAUCCAAAUGCAAACUAGACCAUUAGCUUCAAAAUUUAUAUUGUAUUAUAACCUGAUUUGUAAUGGCCAAAACCAGUGUGAGGGGGUAGGUGUCAGCCUGACUGCUAAAAAACAGUCUUUUCCACAUUAAGCUAAUACAAUAAUGAUGCUUUCCGUGAUUAGAAAUCAAUGGAAUGUUUUUGACAAGGCCAAACACUAACUACUUUCUCCACAGGGGGCGCAAAUCUGACUCAAACCAAAACUUCCUCGCAGGAGCUUUAAUGGAAAUGUCAAGUUCAGCUUUGGCUGUUCAGACUUUAGGAUUAUAAACUCAAAGUUGCUGCGAGGAACUAAAGUUUAGAUUGUGGCGCCUCCUGUGGACAAAAUAUGCAUCUCAUUUUUUUGGCUGAUACUUUUCUUUCUCCCCAUCAUGCCUCUUUAAUAUUCAGAAUAAAAUGAGGCCAAUUUGAAUUUGCAAAAUAAAAUUAGCAGCCUGCACAAAUAUGUGACCAAGGUUUUCCUGGAAAAACAGCGAUAGGGAGCCAAGUGAAGAAAAGGCUUCUAUAAAAUGGGACCUGGCGUGAAAUCCACUCGAGUCAUAAACACAAAUCCAAGAACACAAGAAUGGAUGAUGGGUAAAGGUGCCCAGGGGUCAGGUUUUAUUGCUUUGGUCCUGUUUAUGUAUUUGUUUCCCACUUGUGUUGUCUGUGUAGUUGUUGUUGAAUUUAUUUGAGGUAUAAUCAGAAAACCUAACAUGGGAUUCACUACAGUGAUCAUUAUUCAGACAAAUAAAGCGAAGAAAUAUUCAAAAGCUAAUAUAUUUUUUGAAAGCUCGGCACAUUAGAGAUGAUAACAUGGAUCUGGUGUGUGCGCAAACCUUUUCAAAUUUACAAUGGAAGUGGAGCAAAUAAAAAAAUUACAGUUUCGAGCAAUUCCACGGGGAUGAAUAGAGCUGAGUGAAAGCCCAUACUUUACAGGAAAGGAACCGAGCAGCAAAUGUCACGGCACUUUCUCUGUGAAAUGUGAAAUUAUUAAUGUUCGCAAUCUUUUUAAGAUUCAGAUUCUCCUUUCACCGCCAUGAAUGCGAGGAGCGGGAGCGCCAGACAAAACAGUGCAUCAGCGGACACAUUUUAUGGAAGGGCGAACUCGCCACGGCAGAGCUAAUCUGAAGCAGACAUAGUAUGAGGUCAACACCGGAUCCCUCGCACAAUAAACCCACUCUGUACUUCAUUAGUGUGGACUUCACGCUGCAGAAACUUCUCCAAAGAGCAUUUUAAGCCAAAACGAAAAUGAAGAAUUAUUGGUGUUGAUGCAGGAAGCUCCUCUGGCAGCCAUGCAGAGUCUCCCACUGUAGAAAAGCAUUUGGCGCUCAACCCUCGCAGACGGAUCAGGCGCGGCUGCACGCAGGAGCCCGCGCUCCCAACUCCCAGUCAAUUUGAUAUAUUAAACAAUUAUUGAAUAUGCCACCAAACAAAACCCAGUGACACAAAGAGCUGUGUAAAUCUCUGGCUGCUUCUCCUAAAUUAUGUAUGACUCCAUGAAUAAUUCAUAAAGAGGAAGUGGAAGAGGAAGAAGAAGAAGAAGACAGCGGCGAAGAAGAAAAAAGAGAGUUGAAAAUAAAACAAUGGCCUGUAAAUGGAAUAAAAGGAGUAAAAAUAAACGCUCCACAAAAAGGACGAGUUGCUGCUGUUUAGUUGAAGCUUGUGAACUUGGCAAAUGGGAAUGAGUCAGUCAAUUCAAAUUGAGUCGGCUGUCAUUCAUGGAUGAAUGGAGGCUUAUUAUGAUGAUAACAUUAUGGUGAAGGCCUGCACGCAUGACGGAUCAGCAGGCGGUGCAGUGGUACAGGACGAUAAUGUGAUUGGCAAACAAAAAGCAAAGAGGAGUGAGAGUGUUAGUGUGUAAGAGUGGAUGUCUGAUUGUGUGUGUAGUGGUGGACAUUGAUUGAUAUUUGUAUGGCGGCGCUCGGCUGUCCAUUUAAUGUGCUGCUCUGUCUCAUACACAUUACGUUUGAAUAUGAAUGAGUCCUUCUGAGAUCACCGCGUUGGAUUUUACUCAUCAAAACUGCUUUUAGAAGAAACGGAACAUGACAUUGGUGGUGUGAGACUCUUUCUCAGUCACUCCAGCCAGAAGUGAAGGGUUCGAUCUUAGCUCCCACAGUCACAUACCUUAAGAUAAUGAACCCCAACUGGGAGUCUUCUCUAAUCUCUGCUCUACCAUCACUUUCCCAAAUCGUACCUACCCAUGCCUGAUCUACCCCAUCAUACCCUACCUUAAUCUACCCCAGCCCACCCUACUUAACCCCAAACUCUACCCUGAUCUACCCAAAAUUCUCUACCCUACUGCCCAAUCUUACACUCAUAAACUCUACCUUACCCUACCUUACCCCUUUACCUACACUGAUCUAUCCUCCCUUUUCUCCAACCUCCUCUACCCUACCCUAAUUAGCCUCAUCCUAUCGUUAUCUACCUAAUCCUACCCUCUAAACCUAAUCUAGCGUUACUACUUCCGGCCUACCCAUAUCUAUCCUGCCCUACAUUGUAAUACCCUACCCCAAGUAACUUAACCCCCACUGUACCCAGCUCUGCCCUACCCUUCUCUGAUCUACCCUACCCUACCAAACCCCAAGCAUUCCCUGAUCUACCCUACUCUACCUUGAACUUCCUUACCCAACUCUGAUCUAAUCCAACCCCUUUUCUACCUACCCUACCCUAACCACCAGCUUCUCCUGAGCUACACUACCCUACCCUGAUCUUCCUGUACAAUCUCUGACUACCCUACCCUACCUAACCCUGACUCUACCCUUAUCUAACCAACUUUAUCUUAUUCCCCACUCUCACGCGAUCUACCUGACCCAACUUCUCCCCUUACCAUCGUCUACCCUACCUAACUCCACAUUCUACCCUUGACUCUCUGACCCUACUCUACUCUACCUUUUCCCUACCCUUUUCUUUUCUACCCAACCUCUCCACCACCUGACACCACUUUUCUUCACCCUGCCAAGUCUGUUUUUAAACAAAUAAAGAAAAAGAAAGAAAAGAAAAAUCAUUCCACCAAAAAUUAUAUGCUGUCACAAAUGAGCAUAAAAUUUAAGACAUUUUUGGUUGGCGGGGCAACACAAUGCAAAAAUCUUUUUGUUACAAGUAAGGGAAGUAAACACGAGCUAAGUAUUGCAAUUACAGCCUUUCUGAAGUCUCCUCAGACCUGAGUGACUUCUAUGUCAAACUAAUAAUCCGAAGGUUACCUAAAGUGACCUAAUAUUUCAGUUUCCCAAACGUAGAAAAUAGUGCAGAGCCCGAGAGAAGAGAAACGCCUUGUCACUCUGCACACGUCGGACUCGCGGUUUCUAAACAUGACUGUGGACCAGGUCUGAUUACAGGCUGUAGUUAUUGCAACCCAGGUGCUCCAGGCUGCAUGGGUUAGCCGAGCUGUCACCAGCCCCCUGCCUCACUAGCAACAGUGUUUUACAUAUAGAUUGAAUUACCUGGAACAUUUCUGCUGUAUGUAAAUGACCAUUAUGCUAAUAGUGUGCAAAAACUCACGUUCAAGACACGGGACGGUAGUUUCUUGUGUGUGAGUGUGUGUGUCGGUGUCCCUGUUUUGGAGUUGUGGCUCUGGAACACCCCAAGGGCAGAAUUGAGACGGCUAAAACUGAGACUAAUCUGCUAAGACUGCAUCAAAAUCCAACUUUAAAGGCGAAAAAUGAAAAAAAAGCUUGGAUGUGGGACACCUCUUUGUGACCCCGCGGAGACAGUAAGAUGGAUUCCAGACAUACAGACUAACAACAGCUUAGCCUCAAACAUAACAGUGAAGGGAGAUGAGAUCAUGACACACGCGGGACCCCUGAGAAUGAACAGGUGCAGAAUACAAGGACAGAUGACAGCUGCAGAAGUGUGACUGACGAAGAAUGUGGCCUGCGAGAGGCUGCGGGGAGAAGAGAAAGAGGUAAAUUAACUCAGAAUGAGAGAUAUAUGGUAUAAAAUAUGAUUAGCUCAUGCAGAAUAGAAGAAAAGGUGCGGAGAGAAGUGAGGAAAAUCUCACCGGUCUGCUGAGAAGGUCAGAGGUGUCACAUUGUAAUGCUAUGAGCAAGAAGCAAAAGAAGAGAAGUGAUGUAUGCAUGCUUUACAAUCUGAAUGUCAUGGUCAUCCAGAUUCAGCCUGCAGAGAGGAGACAAAAGGAGCAGAAACAGUGUGCUCGAGCUCCAGUAAGAAAAAGGGAAACGGUGAUCAUUAGCUGAAUGCCAGGCCUUGGCUAAUGAGGGGCGAACUGGAGCGAGGAGCACAGCGCUGGGGAGCUGAGGUAGCUUUUACUGAGCAAUUCUGGGAGCAAGGGCCGCCACGUCCCUGCUGCCUGCUAUUCUGGUCUGAUUGGAGUGGUCUGAAGCAAACCAGCAAGCUCAUUGUGCCGGGUGAGGCGAAGGAGAAGAAGAAGAAGGGGGGGGAGCUGAGAGAGAUGGAAGACCACAAAAGAGAUGCUUGUGCCCACAGGGGAUCAGGUUGCAAGGCUGAGGGUCAUCAUCUCUGGCCUCCUUCUUUGCCGGCUGCAUUCCUCCGGCCGGGCUAAUUCAAAGCACAUCUGUUGCCGUUGUUUCCACAGUUCGACAGCCCUCGGCACUCCUCCGGCUGCUUGUUUCUCUGCAUCCCCUCACUCCUUUGUUGUCCGUCUUUUGGAUUCGUGUUUGUAACGUCUCUUUGAAUGUUCCCCUUACUGGACUGAAAGUCUUUUGGGACUCAGAACCAAGGUCACGAUAAGAUUUCAGAAAUAAUGUAACAGGAUAAAUCCAGACAUUAACGUUACGUUGUCAGUCAGCAGAUAAAGGCUUUUUCUUGGUAUUUUCAAUUUACAUCUAAUAAUUUUCAGCUUUUUCUCCGACAUUUACAUCAUUAUUAAUAAAUAGGAUCUAUUUGUUAAUUCAUGGCCGCUUCUUGCAAAAGUCUAGCCUUUGGCCCGGACUACACGUAUAUAGAUAUUUAUCAGGACAGAACUCAAUCCUAUCUGGUAGAAUACCCUGUAUGUCCGCCAUCGUUGUUGUUGUUUUACUUUUUAAUUCCCAUGCGCGAGCUGCGGGUUGACGUCAUCGAUCUGUAAAAGUUCAACCACACGAAUCCACUUAUACGGAUAUUUUUUUAUUUCUCCACUUGUUUUUUUAGAUUCAGAUUUUUAUCUGGUUUGAGUGUUCCAAACUCCUGUUUUGGUGUGGUAGGGAGGCCGAAUCGGACAUAAAUAUGAGCGGUUUAAAAUAUAUCCACAUUCAGGUAGUUUUCAACUUUUUUCUCAUAAUAUUACAACUUUUGAGUAUUUCCUCCUUUUUAUCUUAACUGUACGACUAUACCGUACCUCUAAUUUACAACUUUUUUCAUAUCUACUUCUUUUUUAAUAAACUUACCACUAUUCUUAUGUUUACUUCUUUAUUCCAAUUUAUGAGUUUUUGUACGACUUGCACUUUUUUCUUCACAACUGAUGUUUUCCCCAUUUUUUUAAGGGUAUUACUGUUUUUAUCCUCUGGCUUUUACACUUGUGAAAUUUAAAUUCCUUCUCUUUACUCGUCGUAUUCAUGUUUCGUUGUGUAGUAUAAUGAACUUUUCUCUAAGUAACCUCUUUUUUUUCAUGUAACACUCCAUUUUAAUCUUUAUUUCCCUCAGUCCUCCAUCGCAGUCUACUUUUUCAUGUCUUUCCUGUUUAUCUGCCUCCCCGUUACUCCCCGUCUUCUUUUCAGCAGUAUCUUAUGCAAAAUAACUGUUUUCUUGUAUGCAUUUUUUCAUCCACCCCCUCAGUCUCUCUUUGUUUGUUUAUUUUGUGUCCCUAUAUGCUGACGACUAAUGGCUCUAUUUGCAUAUAAACUUCUAUUCAUGUGUCCUUGAAGACGUCGCCUGGUUUUGGCCACCCCCCCUUUUGCCAUUUCUGCUUCUUUCUGAUCCGAACUCUCACUGGUUUCUCCUUAUCAUUUAAUUUUUACUUUAAAUAUUUGCUCCCGCUCCUUCUUCGCGUCUCUCUCUGGUUGUUUAACACUCUGAUAAGUCAACGACUAAUGGCUCUAUUUGCAUGAAAUCUACUGCUGACACAAAAGAAACGCUGAUUUUGACCACCCUUGACCGCACAGCCAGACACAGCAGACCAAAAGAAGCAUACAUAACUCCACCUAUUAUCCGCUGCGAUGUUGACCAUAAAAAAAAGCAUCUCUACGUGGGGAGAUUAUUAAGGCCUUGGCGCGGGGGUCUGCACUCGAUUGAAGCUUUCCUUGUUCUUUCUGUUGCCUCUGGUCUUUCAUGUCUUGCCAAUCAGAUUGACCAAGGAUGCCAAAAAUAUCCCCCGGACUCAAUCCGAUGCUAUGCCAGAAAAACAUUGAUUCGUGUUUCAUCUUUAGCAGUGAUCUUUCUGUUUACACCCGUAACAACAUGUAAUUAUGACCAAAAAACAAGGCUCAAACAGAGUUUUGUUUCUCUUGGGCGUAAUUGACCGUCCAGGACUUGUUUUGUGAGGAUUCACUGUCCUGCUCUUGGCAAUCGAAAAUGUACUAAUCACAAAGUGCGCUGAUUAUUAUUCAUAGAGUUGAUGCCAUGUAAAACAGAGAGCCGAGACACCCAUGUUCAAAGCUGUCUGGGCUGAUUAGCAUGCUGGAGUUCUGCUGGCGUAUCCUGGGUGAGUCAUUACCGAAACGUCUCUAAUUGCACACUCGUCGAUUAAACCUGCUUUCUCAUUCACAGUGACCCUGACAAGUAGAUGAGUAAAGUUGAAGAGUUUGCUAUGUCUUUAUCCUCCUUUUUAACUCAUUUAUCCGAGUUGAAUUGUAAAGCGUGGAAAGUUCAUAAAGUUCCCAAGCUCUCUAUUUUAUGAAGAACAAACUUAUAAGAGGGUUCAAAUAUUGAAGUUAAAGCACCACUUCCAAUAAUUGGUCAUCUUUACGGACCAGAAGAAGGACAAAGGUUGCGGGAGGUUAUUCAGCUGGAUUCACAUUUUAAUAAAACUCAAGAAAACCCAGCGGAAAUGUCAGAGCGAACCCAAACAGCCACAUGUCUUCCCAUUUUGUCCCAGUAGCUAUCUUGUAAAACUUCUGGGGUGAGUGGAUGUCCGAAUUAAAACAGCAGGAAAAACUAAGAAAAAUUCCCCUCAAGAGACCAAAAUGACAGAAAACAGGGUGAAAAUACAAAUUAAUACAAAAAAUUAAGAGCGGAUGAACAAUUAUGCAUCCUCACCCUCAAAAGACGACACCAGACCAGCUUAUCUUAGGCCCUAAAAUGCCAGUCAUGUUUUGUCCAACACCAACCAAUCAGGGCUGUCGCUCUGUCUACUACUGAUGCGAGGCUCUACGACAUGAAUGUAAAUAAAUCUAUAUGGAGACGGGGUUCUUAUAAGCCUUUGUUUGCAUGACAACAUUAACCUGCAAAGCCGUUAAAAACUGGUGGUGCUAGCUCUGAUAGUGUUAGUCACGCUAGGCUAAACGUAGGUUUUAACCUACGAUAAUAUGUGAUAGAUAGAUAGAUAGAUAGAUAGAUAGAUAGAUAGAUAGAUAGAUAGAUAGAUAGAUUGACAGCCAGGUUUCAGUUAAGGACACUGUUAGCAAAAUAAAUUCUCAAUAGUGAAGAUUUACUGCUGUGAGGGGCGUGUACAAGCAUGCUACUUUAAAAAUUUGUGAGGUAGAGCUCCAUAGAAAUGUAUUCAUGCAAAGGGCUUUUGAUUAUUACGACGAUGGUAAAAAUCUAUCUGACUUCUCACCCCGACUUUCCUCAACAGAAUAAAGCAGGGCUUGACACGAUUUUUUUUCAGAAGGAACACAUGCUCCUAAGUUGAAUAAUAAGAAUUUAUCAAAUAAUGUGUCUUAUUGUCCGACAUCAGUACUAUUAUUUGAAAUCAACUUUAGGUCAAUUGGUCACAUGACACGGAAGCUAUUGAUAGAAAACAGCCUUUAAAUUUAACACAAAAAUCUUUAGAGGACAAAUUAGGGAAAUAAAGAGGUUUGUCUUAUCGUCUGACGUUAGUAAUAUUAUUUGAAAUCAAUUUUAGGUCAAUUGGUCACAUGACAUGGAAGCUAUUAAAGGAAAACAGCUUUUUCUGAGAAUAUCAACCGGUAAUUUAUUGAUGGUCCCUUAUUCAACACCCGAUGUUGACAGCAAGGGUGCAGAGUAGAUUUAACCAUGCUGCUAACAGUAUUCCCAGUUAUGGAGAGUGAGAAGACACCGGUAGAUCCGCAGUGAAUGUCCGUCGAAUAUCCAAUCAAAUAUCCAACCAUUUACAUGAAAACAUUUUGUCACCUCGGCUAAUUUUUUUAAGCGCACAUGUGCCCCUAAAUACGUUCUACAAUUCACACACAUCUAUUUUUAGACACAAAUGCGAAACGGUCGCACUGUCGAGCCUUGUAAUGUAUCACUUUUUAUGAAUAUUACCUGUAGAGAAAGUUUAAAGCUGUUUUUUGGGAUUGUCAAUCUUGUUGCUACAAGUCUUGUUUAAGUCAUUAAGAGACAUCACCGUCAUUAUCAGUCCAUUUUCAGAGCUUGAAAGACUCCUCACUGGAGCUCUAAGAAUGGAAAACUACAUAAAAACGACGGUAAAGUCUCUGAAUUACACUUGAUUUCUAAAUAACACCUUUGACAUGUAUGGCACAUUCGCUUCAAACACAAUCGCCACUCUUUCUCCUGCAAUUAAUGUGUUGAAUUUCCUGCAAAGACCUGUUUUGGAAAGCUGGUCUUUGUAACCACAUGAGAAAUGACGCAUAAAAAAAAAACAAUAUGUAAAAAGAACUGAACAGACGCCGUGUUUGAACACGCACUUGACCAAGCUGCCUCUGAGUCAGAGUAAGAGAAACUUACUCUGAUUCAAGAGCUGUGAAUCAGAUUUAAGUGCAGUGUGCUCCACUAAAAAGGUACUUAAAAGUAGAUGUUUUUGGAAACGGGGACAAACCGUGCUGUAACCGAGUUUUUCUCCGCAUGAGUCCCUGUUGGCAGCUCCUCACAGAUGUAGAAUCAGAGAGAUGACUGCGAUGGUUUUAUUCUAUAUGUGUGCAGCCUUGAGUUAAGAUUGGGCGGUUUGGCGAAACAUAAAAGCUGAGCAGACUUUCAAUUAAAAUGUAGUAAAAAAAAAAAAUAAUGCGUGUAAUUGCUCACUGACAACUUGAACUGCGUGGGACUCCUGGGUGGAGGUUAAAGAGUAACACGGGUCAGCGAGGCUCGGCUGGUAAUUGAUUGGGCUGAGGCCGGAGCUGCAACAUUCCUGUCCGAGUUGCACGCUGCUGGAGCAACGAGAGGCGGGUCGGAAAUCACUAAUAAAAGGUCUGGGUCAAGCUACUGGGAGCUGACUACAUGAAACAUAUACAGACUGGCUGCGGGGAAGGGGAUCAAUAAGAGAAGAAAAGGGGGCUACAUAUAAAAUACAGAGCGGUGUACUCCGUCCUCGUGAAACAAGGACGACAAUCUUUGCAAUUUGUUAAGUGCAUGUUUGCUAUUUUUCAUUCAUGCAACAAAAAAACUCCCUCUCAUCCAUCACAGCGCUACAGGCAGGUUUAAAAAACACCACCAUGUUUAACUUCAGCCGCAAAUUAGCCCAACUGAUCAAAAAUGCACUCCUGUAGUUCACAGGACGGCAUAAAAACAGCUGUGGAGACACUCAAACCCCCUCCGACAGCUGUUUUUGAUUGAUUUCUCAUUUGUCCCAGAUAUUUCGUUUUAUUCCCUUCUCUGUGUUUAAAAGAUUAAACAACAUUUCCUUUUUUUAAUCUUUCUUUUGGUGUCUUUCCUUUUUUUUGAAACUUUUCUGUGUUUACAACCGCCUAAGCAGAGAGAUGACAGCGAGCGACUCAGCUGUCCUAUUUUUUUUUUUUGUUCCAAUAAAAUGUUUUAAUUUAACUUCCCUCAUUAGCGAAGCAUCGGGGUGAUAAAUAAACGUGGCUCGCUCGACACAAGAGUAAUUUACAUGAGGAUAUUAAUAGAUUCAUCAUUCAGGCUUAAGCACAUCAAUUAUGAAAGGCCUGUAACCUGAGAAAAGUAUAAAAAAGCCCCAUUGAAAUGAUGAUGAGAAAUAUAAUUAGUUACAGCUGAGGCAAAACAAACACAUUAACAAUAGGUUAUAAACACUGAAUAAUUAAAUCAAAAUGUGUAUAAAUAAAUAUGCUUAUUUAUGGACAUGAUGUUUCAGAAGCACUCAGAAUAAUUAGUCGCUGCUUUCUAGAGUUUGAGAUUAAUCGUAAAGUGCACAUUGGGGAUUUCACAUGUUUCACCGGGUCAUGUUCUGUUUGCACAACCACUUCGCUGAUUAUCAAUGAUGGAUUCAUAAAGUAGAUCAUGAUCCAGAUCCAAACCGUCCAAACCUGAACCUGGUGUCCGAGGAGAUCGAUCAUGCUGAUUGGUUCUUUAAUACAUACAUAGAAGUGAUGGUGUAAUUUCUGGCUUUUUUGGAGGCUUGACCACAACCCAAUGAGGGGUCGACCAAUAUCGUUUUUUCAGGGCUGACACAGAUAUUGAUUAUUAGACCAUGAGGCUGAUGGCUGACACUUGGAACUGAUGUAAAAAAAGACAGUAAGAGAAAGAAAAAGUGGCGAAAGGAGGGAAAGACAGACUGGCGGUAAUUAGUAAUUAAUUUUGCUGGUGUUCUGUAAAAUAAAACACUAUACAGAUAGCUCAUGUAUGCUAAUGUGGCUAAAUGAUAAGCUAUCUGGGUGCUAACAGCUAGCCUAAGAUGUUGUUUGUAAAGGCAUAACAGUUUCACUGACUUCAUAGCUGUGUAAAAAGUAACACCAACAAGCUGUGUCUGACUAAGACAGAUAGAUAGAUAGAUGGAUGGAUGGAUGGAUGGAUGGAUGGAUGGAUGGAUGGAUGGAUGGAUGGAUGGAUGGAUGGAUGGAUGGAUGGAUGGAUGGAUGGAUGGAUAGAUAGAUAGAUAGAUAGAUAGAUAGAUAGAUAGAUAGAUAGAUAGAUAGAUAGAUAGAUAGAUAGAUAGAUAGAUAGAUAGAUAGAUAGAUGGAUAGAUGGAUAGAUAGAUAGAUAGAUACCACUUACAGAUCCAAAUGUCAAUAAAAGAUUCAGGAAACAUGGACCAAUCUUUGUUAACCCACUAAGACCUGAACCCUGUCUGAGACACGCCUCUGAAAUCCUGAGGGCCAUUUUGAGAAGGGCCCCCAGAUCCUGAGGUUUUCUGAAGUGCUCAUAAAAAAGCUGAUAUCUCGGCCUCUGUGGUUGAUAGAAACAAAAUUCAAGAAGUAUUUAAGAGCUUACACGUGUGGCUUUCAAGAUCACUAUCUUUUAUUUUUCAGAACCUUCAUCAGAUUAUUGAAAACCUUGAACAAACAAACUCAAAUGAAAUAAAGCAGCUGUUUAAAUAAAACUGAAGGCUCUGCACUGGAGAAUAACAAACUAUUUGCAGUCAUGAUAAAGUGUCCAUCUAAUAGAAGUGUAAAUAUAAAAAUAAAGUGUUGAAAGGGUAUACAGCUGCUCCACUGGCCACUGAAGCAGGAGAAGUAGAGGGACAAUACUACUACCUUCGCUAAGGCUGGAUGCUUCACCUCUGAAGCUGCUCUCUGCCUCCGUCAUUGUCUACCUUUCUCACAAAGCACGUAGCAAGAUCCGAGCAUGAAUCUGAGUGCUUUAUCAAGCUUUAUUAGUCUAUCAGAGGCAGACAGGUAUGAUGAUUUGAUUCGCCAAUGACUCCAGGAUUGACUGAAAAACUACAGAAUGUUACAUAAUGACGUAUCCACGCUCCCGGCUUGGAAGGUUGAAAUCUGUUCAUGCCGCCCCGGUUUAAAUGAAUUAAAUGGGAUUGCAGACAUCGCUCUGUGGUGGAAAUCCCCACAUAAGCUCUUUUUUUUGCUCCCUAUACAAUAAGUUUACAGUUUAAAUGAUUUCUGUUAAAAUUUACAGGGCAUCGAAAUCUUUUCAGAGAAGUUUUGCACUGAAUCAUUUUUCAAUUUAGUCAUUAUGAAGUGUCAAACCUGUUCUUGAAGACACUUUCUCUCCCUGGACCCGUUGAAACUUUAAUUGAACACUCCUGUUCUAUUGAUUUCAAACUAGUGUAACUAUCCAAAGCAAUUCUACAGGAGAGUAGAAUCAAGCCGGCGAAAUCUUAAACCGUCUCUGAUUGUUAUUCAAUCUUCCAUAUUGUAUUUUAUUCUGUUAUCUCCGAAAACCAAUAGACUCUGCAACUCCACGGGCAAAGUAAUUUGUGGGUUUAACAAAGCGAUUAUGACAGUCAGCAGAAAGUCCACGGCGGCAGAUUUUUAUCUUCACCAAAAGAUAGUGAGGACUUCAUGAUCACUGCUUGCAGUUGCACAGAACUCGCUGUCCAAGCAGCUGUAACAAGAAGAUUUACAUUUCAAAAGCAUGUCUCUUCAAACCGUGUUUAACCCGGAGCCCCUAAAACAGCAAUCCAAGCAGGAAUCCAACUUCCCCCCUUUAUUUUUUCCCUCCUCAUGAAAUACAGCUGCUGUGUUAAGGUGGGAUUUCUACUGCAUUCCACCCAGUCAAUGAAUAAACUGAAGGAACACCUGAGUAAAUUUGGCAAAGAAGAGCUUUUCCAGAUCAGGAGCUGCUCGAGAGAUUAGCUAUGUUUGGAGAGAAAACACAAAUGCACCAACAGGAAACAUCUGUGUCAGGGAGUUGUGACCUCCUGAACAUGAGGGGCCGCGAUCCCAAGCGGCGCAGACGGGCCGUGUGUGGUAAGUGAGGCCUUGGGCUCACUGGGAGAACCGCUUGGCCUUGGGAGUGAGGGGGAAAACCUCCAUCAAGGGUAUCAGGUGACUGAAGUGUGAGGGAAUGAGGACUGGGCUGGGGGGACGGCUCAUGAAGGAAUAGCUGUGGAACCGUGGAGGAAUGAGAAGCAGGAUGGAGGAAUGGAUCAUUGGGUUAGAGUGGGUUAUGGUUUGUGGGUAUAUUGGAACGACAUAAAUGCAUCUGAUGACAGUGAAGGGUCUGGAAUUCGCAGCCUAUGAAAGAAGUCACGCAGACUAUGUAUGUAAAAUGAGACGGCCUUUGUGUGAGAGCGAUUAUGGGAUCAUAUAGGGUGCACAGAUCAGACAUGGAAGAGCCACAAUAAUGCUCCAGCUGUUGCCGCAGGAAUAGGCUGUGGAUGAUGAGCGCAAGCUGCUCCAGGCUGGUGAGAUGGGCCUUAAAAUAUACCAGAGAUGGAUACAUAUAACUGCGGAACCAUAGAAUAAUAAACCAGUACCCAACCAGAAAUAAUCGACAUUACACACAUUCAUGUUUUCGUUUUUUAGCUUAUUUUCUAACAGGGGUGUUUAGGAAUUUCUGUGAUUUUGAACGAUUAUAUAUACUUACUAAUCAACUCAUCAAAAGGCAAGAAAACCCUCUCAGAGUAGUCAAAAUUUAGCUUAAAAUGAGUGUAUAUGGCUAAAAUAAACAUGUGCUGGUUCCUCAGAUUGGGUGAGUCAGACACAGUCUACACAUGACCUUUCUCCAACCUUUAGACCAAAACACCGCCAAUCCACGACAUGCAGCACGACUACAUACUACUUACAUUUGUAGCAUUACUGAAGAAGACAUUAACCGGAGCUUCAGACCCAGUUGUGAGACAACACAAUAGCAAUCAACCAAGGUAGGCCAAUGAAUAAUGCUGAUUUUAUAUUGUUUUAAUCAAAGUGGCAAAAUGUAACAAGUUGAAAAUAAAUGACCAACAUACCUGCUGAACUUAACCAACAUUUAAUUACUAUUAUUGGCUUUUCCUUGUUAAGGUUUAGUUAAAUAUUGCCACAGAGGACUUAUGGGUUUCUGUCUGGACAUCUGUGGUAUGUAUAAGAAAAAAAUACUAGAUGAAUAUUUGUUUAUCUUCUAUUAUUCAGUAGAAAUGUUCCGAUACCAGUAUCCGAAAUUGCUCCCAUACUGCCGAAAAUGCUGGCAUCGGUACUGGAGAGUAUGUAAUCCAGGCACUGAUCUAAUACCAUGUCAUUUAUUAAAUUGGUAAUUUAUUAAGGUAAUUCCCUUUUUAUUUAAAAAUAUUGUGGCUGCACUUUAAUUUUUAAAAAAUAAUCAAUCCUAGAUUUAUUUGGUUAAAUUGCAUUUGCUGUUUUUAUACUGUUCUCUUAAAAAUAAAUGGCUUGAAUUUGCUAUAUUCAUUUGUGUUUUACAAAGGGUUAAACCUGAGCCAGACCUUACCGCAAUCAUAAUAUUAUUCUUAUAACAUACUGGUAUCAGAUUGGUACUCGAUAUCGGCCGAUACCCACAGCACAAGUAUCAGAAUCGGUGUUGGGAGGGCAAAAAUGGUAUCAGAACAUCUGUAUUAUUCAAUGCAUGUAACAGUCUAAUAUGCAUGCAUGUCUUAACCAGUUGCAUUUUUUAGACCUACUUUUAAUUAAUGCAAUUUUACAAACUGGCCCUGGCCAAUUCAGGUGCAAACUGGCCAGGGUUUUGAUAUUUAAUGGUUUAAUUAACCCGGUGCCCACAUGCCCUUGUUUUAAGUGUUCUCUGCUGACCAUGCUGUAUUACCUGUAUAAGUUCCCCACAACUAAUCAACUCCGAGUUUCCUAAAGAAGUUCCUCCGGCUUAUUAUCGGCGACACAUUCGCUGUGGCCUUAAGACAUGAAGACUGGUAAAUCAGUUUGAGAGAGUGAGGAAGAAAUGCUGCUGGUGCUGUUACAAGAAGACAUUUUCAUAGCUUCAAGUUCCACCCGCAGGACCUUGUACUUUCCGAAAUUACACAUUCCCUUCUUAACAGGAUGUCUUUGGGUGGUAGAAUAAAAUAAGCCAUCUUUGGAGUUUUAUUCAAACCCUGGUUGCCAUGGAGGAAAGUACUGAGUAUUCUUGCCCCCUGAGUUCACUGGUGAUUGAAAUCCAUUUUUAAUGGCGUCCAUGUCGUUCCCACGGAAUAUCGUAAGCAUCUCAGCACAAAGAAGUCAAAAAUCAGCCUCCGAAGCUCUGGAGCGUCUCCCAAGAGCAUCUAAAUACAGCGUUAGUCUCAGGGGAGCCGCCUUCUGGGAGACACCCCACCCCCAGGAUCCCUGGGAUCAUCCAUCCUGCCUCAGAACCCAGAUGGCACAUGAUGCCACACGAGGCCCGAUGUUGACACUCAUGAAGUGGGCCAGAGCGGUCCCCAGAGGUCCAGCUGCCUUCUCAUACAGUAUGGACACGUCUCUUCUGAGCGUCCUCUGUCACGGCUCAGACCCCGGUGUUUAGACAGAGAGGGUUAAGGCCUGUGCUGUACGAUAAGUGACCUACUCAAGGAAAGGACGGCACUGGAAAACCGGAUUUCCAAUAAACUGAGGUGAUAGAAUACAGAAUCAAAUAUGUGACCGAGGUACCACGGAAAUUGUGCCCCCGUGGAGAGAAUUAUAUGUACAGGGAGGGAGGGGCAAGUGGGGGGUGAAGAGAAAGACGAGGCAGAGUAAAAAUUGGUAACCUCUCGUGGAAGUGCCACGGAAAAAUAAUACAUUGAGAAUAAGUGAUUUCUGCCUCGUGUAAAUUCCAGGUGACGGGAGCUCAUUUUCGUCCCCAGGAGCCUAUGAAUUCAUAAUGCCUCGCACGUGCGCUUCAAGAUGUCAAGAAAUGUGAGAGGAAAAUAGCCAAUUUCAGCCAAUACUACCCUUCUGCAGACACGGUCUUUAUCUCUGCCUAUCCCUCGCUCUCGCACACACACCUGACACAACCACCGAUGUCUGCAAAUUCUUCCUUCUACGUUUUGAAAAAGGUGCCUCAAGUCGACAUACGCUUUAAUUCCUUUCUCGGGAUUGGGAUGGCAUUUACAAUUCAAGUUUUAAGUGGCUUUUUAUCAGACGGAGUCGGCACUCUAAUUCUUGGUAGUUUUUUAAAAGUUGUCUGUGCUGUCAGGUGCAGAGUGUGCGCCUGUCUUUGGUUUAAAAAAAAAAAAAAGGGGGAACCUGGAGUUCACUCAUCAAGCAUUUUCUAGGAUAAGCAUGCUGGGAAACAGUCUACUUAAUUCUCUUUUUACAUCAUCAAUCUCCCUGACUUCUCUCGCCUGAUGUUUUUCUCUCUCUUCCCUGUCACUUUCAUCUGUGCCCUCCAUCUUUCUCGCUCCUCCUAGAUGCUCUUGCAUGGGUGAACAGCUGGUACAACUCUGCGUGCGUGUGUUUGUGUUUGUGUGCAUUUCUCUCACUCUCACUAGGUUCAUUUUAAGAAAGUGAUCGGUGAACGACGAGAGGAAGGCUCACAUGUGGAUACAGUAAAUAUGUUGAAACAUCUCAUGUGCCCCAGAGUGUCUCGUGUCUCCGGGGACAUGCUCUCCUCCCUCCGCCGCUCUAUUCAACAGAGCCUUGCAAAUGCGGCUGUCACUCCUGAUCUACUUCCAGCGGAGGGGGAGCUCUCUCUUUUCUCUGACACGCUGUUAUGCUUAAAUUCCUUCUUUUAAAUACCUACAGUCACAAAAGCGGGGCCACCGACUUGCACCAAAGCCAUCCGAGCGGGCUGGUUGUAAAACACAGGCUGCGGAGGGUUUUUUAUGUCAAGCUGUUUGAUAUUCAACAAGGUGAAUUUUAAUACUACAAAAUCUAGGUUAUGAGAUGCGUGUCUGAGCGGAGGGUGAAAUGUGGAGAGGCUUUAAAACCCUCAUGUUCUUCCAUGUAGAGCUCACGCUCCGAGGACUUGUAAAAUAAGCAAAGUGAGAGUUUACACAAGAGAAAGUGCAGCGGUGCAAAGCCCUCUCCAUCCUCCUUUCUGCCCACUGUGAGCUAGCAUGGAGGACCACACCCAGUCCAGCGCCAGACAGGCAGUCUGCCCCGACUUUGUGGUCGAGCUGCCUGACUAUAUAUGGAGAUGAAAUAGCAGGGUUGAGCCUUCACCCCCUUGUAAGGCCUUUUGGGACCGAGGCCUCAAAACCUAACCGAAACCUUAAAACAGCUUGUUAAAGCCACUUCCUCUAAGCCCAGAUGAUUACAGUCCAGAACAAUGCAACAAUGCAAAACCAGGAAUGAAGACGCUCCUAUACUUAGACUCGUCUCCCGCCUUCUUCUCCACUUCCUUUUGUCAUUUAUAUAUCAUAAAAAAGAAACUGAAAUCCACCCCAAACAUAAACGGAUUCCUGCAGAAUCACAUCUCUGCUUCGCUACAGGAGCUAGUGUUUUGGGGGUAUUAUUGAGCUAAUCGGCGGAUCAGCGGAGUCAGCAUAUGAAUUCAGCUCCUCAAAUCAGUUUACAGUGAUGAAUGGCCUUCAUUUAGCCCCACAGCUGGCGUUGUUCUGAGCGCCGUCCCUGUUUUUGUUUGCCUCUGCGGUUGGAAAGUUGUUUUCUACCACGCAGUGGGCUGGAGAUGCGACAAGGAGCUGAGGAGAGGCUUUAAAUCCGGUGACGAGGCAAAGAGUUUCCUGCAGAGUCAUCCAAGUACUGAUACCAGUAAUAGGACACUAAAGCCAGUAUAAUUAUCAGUUCUAGAACUGCCCUAAUGUGAAGUAAGCUAUCAAUGCACCAAUUAGUUGUUGUGAUUGACAGAAAUAUUAGGCAAUGGGCAAACGGUAAAUGAUGUCAAGAGAGUCUGACUGAGGACCUCCACUGUGAAGACCUCACUUUCACUGAGUGGACCGGAAGUUGAUUUAAGGCCUUUCAAAAUAAAAGCAGAUAUAUACACUGAAUAGUCUAGCUGAACACUUCCACUGUGGGGACCCAUCUACAGCGAGCAGACCAGAAGUUGAUUUAAAGCCUUUCAAAAUAAAAGCAAAUAUACUUGGAUUACAUUUUGUUGUUGUUGUUGUUGUUUAGAUCGGGAGUUAAUUUGAAGCCUUUUCAAAAUAAAGGCAAAUAAACCGGGAUUACGUUUUGUUGUUGUUGUUUACAUUGGAAGUUGAUUUGAAGCAUUUCAAAAUAAAAGCAAAAUUACCUGGAUUAUUAUUAUUUUUUUAUUGUUGGAAGUUGAUUCCAAGCCUUUCAAAAUAAAAGCAAAAAUACCAGUUAUUAUUAUUUGUUUUAAUCAUUGGAAAUUGAUUCAAAGCCUUUCAAAAUAAAAGCAAGUAUACUUGGAGUACUUUUUUUUUGUUUACAUCGGAAGUUGAUUCAAUGCCUUUCAAAAUAAAAGCAAAUAUACCCAGAGUACUUUUUUUUUGUUUACGUCAGAAGUUGAUUCAAAGCCUUUCAGAAUAAAGGCUUAUAUACCUGGAGUAUCUUUCUAUCCUUUUUUUGUGUCAGAAGUUGAUUCAAAGCUUUUCAAAUUAAAAGCGAUUAGACCAGGAAGUACAUAUUUUUUGACUGGUGUGCAAACGUUUUAUUUCUUGGGGCUUUAUUUUAUGUAUAUGAUGUUUAUAUGAUUUUUGGUUUAUUUUUGUGUUCAACAAAGAGAAAAUACAAAACACGUGGGAAAAAACAUCACCCCAGGUCCUCACAAUGGAGGUGGGUCCUGACAAUGAAGGUCUGCAGACAGACCUCUCUCAAUACUGUUGAUCACAAGAUACAUCCUAAGAUCUACCAGAAUAGAUCAUGAUAUCAAUUUUUGAAGAUUACUGUUUUUUCCAGGUUUUGAAAAAUUGUUUCCAGGUCCUUAAAAUGGGUCUUUAUCUGUAAUUCCAACCGCAGCUACAUAAUGUCAAACCAGACUUUAUGAACUGUCAAGGGCGAACACAGAGCGCUCUGUAAAACAGAGCCAGCGGCCCACCUGAGGCCUGCAAAAGCGAACAACUCCUUGGUUAUUGGUGGUCUGGCAGCUACAGGUAGAAAUAUGUGUGGCCUGAAGGGUCCACCAGAGCUGAACUGCCUACACAUCUUCACGAACGUUAUGACAGCCGGCGCCGAGGAGCUGAGAAGCUUAAAGUUAACAAGCCAGAAUAAGAGCGCACUCUUGUCUGAGCCUGGCGAGACAUUACACCCGUGAUUAGGAUCCCCAUGCAAAUGACAAAGCUGAAGUGAAGAAAGCCUCCACACUUGAUUGAACGGUGUCUGCACCCCUCAGAAAGAAGGCGCUCUGAUGCUUAUCAGAAGGCAUUUUGUUGGAUUCCCGCUGCAGUCAGCUGUUUCUCUUGGCUGUUUAUCUGUCAAUAAUGAGAGGCUCGGCAGCCGCAAUCACAGGGACAUACAAGAGGUCUUUGUUAGCUGGAUCGGGCUGAAUCACAUUGGGGAUUUUCAUAAAAGCCUUUGACAUCUGGACCAGUGGCAGCAGGCCUUUGUCGGUGUUUCCAAUUUGAGUAAUGGGCCUCAACAUUGUUCCAGAACGGCACCGAGCGAGCGUGGGGCUUAUUCUGUUUAAUAUGCAGCUAGAAACCGAUGAUUCAACCCGCUCGUAAACUGUUUGGCCCUCAUUAGAGCCGGGGAAUUCGCUUCGUAUCUGCUUAUGCAUAAGUGGCGUUUUAAAUUACGUCACCAGCUCCACAGUCUGCGACGCUGCCAUCACUGAUUUAAACGUGCAUUUUGCUUCCUGCACACACAUAUGAUGACUUUAUUCCCAGCAUCAUGGAGGUUUGAUUCCUCUAACACCAACACAGCCACUGUGAGGAAAAGAGUGUAAUGGAGUUAUAUGUACCCGAUAAAAACUAGACUACAUCCUGGUGCGAGCCGAGCAGCAGCAAGCAGAACUCAUCAAAGCGGGGACGUGAGCGAAUGUGCUGAAAUGAGCGGCUCAUUUUGGGAACGAGAUGCAGCAUCCAGAGCCUCCGACAAUUAAAGGCAUGGAUGACGAUUGGAGAGAUUGGUAAUUAUUAUGAACCUCGUUUCUAUGGCGAUCAUGGUCCUAGAGUGGGAUCUCCACAUAGUGAAGAGAAAAACGAUUGGAAGAAAUCUGUUCAUGAAAGCAGGUGCAGGGCUGCAAAAACAUUGACCAAUGGGAGCCAUCGGUCCUGGUCAAUCUCCUGCUCCGCCUCUCCAUCCAAUCACUUCGCUGCAUUCGACACAUCCCUCUCCUGUAGUUCCGACUUGUCCCCUCCCACUCUCCCGGCCCUCCUCGGAGCUCUGAGCAGCUAAAAGUAGCGUAGCAGCUAGGCUACAGGAGCUGUGAUGGAGUAGGACGCUUUUUUUCAGAUCUGCCUCGACGGCUGAGUUUUUUCAACUGCUUCUCAGAUGGUCAACCAUGCCUUUAAGAGGUACAGUAAGUAACAGUGCUGAUGAAACCAGAUCUUUGAUGAACAAAUCAGGAUGGAUUCAGAUCAUGUUACUUUUGUAGGUCUCAAAGACGCAUCAAAAUAAGUUUUACUCAUGUAAUUUCUGACCGACUCCUGCAUGUUUUCAACAGUAACUCACCGCACAACAGAAAUAGAGAAGCAGGAGUGAAAUGGAAAUCCAGAUUAAAAACCCACUCUAAUUAAAAUCAUGUUUUCUUGUUGUCUACGUGUUCAUAUGGCAUUUUUCUGAUGCUACAGGACAUAUCAUGAAAAAAAAUAAGUGCAAAACCACAUUUCUGAGUAUUCCUGCAUUCAAAUCACCAUGAACCUCUCACAGACCCAAACGUCGGGUUCAGAAACAGUGAGAUUUCAUACAUCACAAAUCCAAGCUCCGCCCCCGGGGCCGUGCUAUGCAGGCCAGACUCGUAAAAGUAGAGAGGACGAUCACAGAACAAGUGUUGCAAUGCUACUACAAAAGCUAAUUAAGCUAAUAUUAGCUUCCAUCAUGUCCUUAAAGACAUCAGUGUCGAAGAGCUGAAUAGCUUCAAUGUUACCAACCACUCCUGCUGCACAAGCAAUGUUAGGCUGCAAGCUAGUGUUAAGACAAGUGUGCAGUGCAGCGCAAUCUCUGCCCACGACUCAGAGGCGAAUUACUGAUGAUCUACUGGAGCUUUGCAGAAGAGAAGGCCUUGGAAAUCAAACAGGUAACGAGGUUUUGGCUAAAAACUUCAUAAUCACAGUUUAAAGAUCACUGAGGACACUUUAAUAAUAGAAAAAAGGAAUGGAGUGGGAUUUUAAAGAGGUAGGGACUACAAUGCAUGAACACAUUUUCGAGUCACCUCGUCCACUUCUGAAUGAAUCAAAUUUUCAAGGUCUCCUGUGGAUUGUGACUCUUUGAAGCUGCGUUUCGAGUAGUUGGAUGGACACAUCUUCUACCUGGGCUGGUGAAUGUCUUGGAGAGCUACACAUCUCUUUUUAGACCGUCGAUGUCUGAGUUAACGUUCAGCUUCAGACCUUGGUUUCUAAUCUUGUCGACCUUUUAGUCAUUCAUAAAAAAAACUCCUGACAUUGAGGUUUCAAGUACGCAGCUGCACUGCCUUCAAACCAAAGUUACUUUUGCUUUAAAAAAAGAAAAGUUUCAAGCAGGUUAUUUAAGCUAAAAGUCCAGAGAAAAUUCGCUUUUACAUCCCAGUGAAGAGCUGCUAUCUAUAGAGCCUCAUUGCAUCAGAUUGAAAAGGUAAACCCGUCUCCCUCAGUCUUGAGCAUUUGUUUCUUUUCCCCUCUUUGCUGACCAUCUGCCAUGUGCACAAACACUGUACCGCCCACGAGCUCGCACAUUAAAUCUGAUACAUACGCAUUUCACACCUCUGCUGCAGCAAGAUGCAGCAACACCGCUUCCCCCGUUACAAGGUCCACUAGUUUUAUUCCACUCGGGCGCUUAAUCGCUCAUCACUGUGGUCGUUGGGGUGUUAAGCUGUCCCAUCACCGCUGCGUCUGAGGCAGAGCCACUAAUUGAAAGGUAUCACUUAAUGCUGCUCGGUUUAGCACUCAAGGGCUGGAAAUAUCCCCUUCACAGGCUGUUUUAAAACGACAAGAUUGAACGGGGUCAUGCGGCUUAUUGCUUCGAUAGAUCAGUGUCGCAAAUUUAACGCUACUUUACAUGUAAAUAAUACUCCGCUUCUCCAAAAAAGAGCGCAAAUAUGUCAAGGCUUGACACCGCUGAAUAAAGGCAAUUUAAGUGAGGUUCAAGUGCAGCUACCUCAGUAAGGGCCUGUCUCCACUGACAGCAUUUUCUGCACUGGCAGCACCCAUGACCCCAAUUUCAGAGCACUUUCAAGGCGCUUUCUUUCUGCUAGGUUUCAAGUUCCUCUGCUCUACUUUCUCUCCUCUUAGCAAAGACCCUGAAGUCUGUUAAAAAUCGCUCUGCAUGCUUCAUAGUCGCUGUUAUCUGGUAGAAACUCAACCUGUGAAUAAAAUCGAAUCCUAUCAACAGCAGCACCUGAAAAUCCAACUUGAAAACCAACAGUGGAUGAUAAACCCUUUGUGUGAACCUCUGUCAUUUUUAUUCACAAGGCGGAAUAAUAGAAGUCCUGUUACUUCUUGAUUAUAAUUUGUCGGUGAAAGUUGAAUUUUUUUCAACCAAAAGCAACUAAAAAUACCUGAAGCUGAGGGUGAUUUUUGCUUUUAGGACCUUUCGCUCAGAAAACACUCAACUGCACAGGGUUUUGUGUGAAGAUUUAUAUCUGAUUAGGGGUGUCCC